rnacentral:lncRNA from 1 species
CGGAAAGACCUGAAGCAUCUACCGAAGAAGAAACGGAUCGAAUCAUGUUUUUUCAAGUUUUUUUCCCGCUAGUUGGUGCUAUCGGCGUCCUGAUUUUCCCUGGCGGAUGGUACAAACAGGUAAAUACUGCUUGUCUUUUUUGCAUCCAAGCAUGUCGUGUUUAUUUAAAAAAAAGUUUCCUCCGUUUUUUAGCGUUGCAGAUAUGACAGGCUACAUCAGACAGUACUUUAAAAAGCAACCUCGCGAGGAGGAAAGUCAAGAGUCCAGGUGAAACACAGCAGAGAAAAAACGUAACAGGCAGUUAAAAUGCUAUAAUUCAUGGUGGGGACAACGUGGAAAUUUGUGUCAGGUCUGAAAGUACUUCACAAGGGACUGGUGAUCGCGAGGGUCAGAAUGCAGGACAGGACGAGUCGGCGAGGCGAGGGUAAUUAAUUAAUUAGUUUCCAAUUAGAAGCAUAACAACGCAAAGCCAACGUGUACGUGGUUUUUAUUCCUAUUUCCAGAUCUUCUCAAAAACACAGAGCCAGUGGCUUUGACAAGCAGUGGCUCAAUCAAUUUACCUGGCUCAGGCAUACUGAGGAAGGCAUGCACUGCUAUUUAUGCCAAAAGCACUGUGCCCCAACACAGCAGGCAAUUGCUGCCUCCUUAGUGAGACAGCCAUCAACCAACUACAGGCUGGACACAUUAAAAAGACAUGAGGUGACAGCCAUUCACAAAGCAGCAGAAGAGAAGGAGAAGUAUAUUAAAGAUGGUAGUACCUAAAAAAACUCAACUAAUAAAGUUACAAAAAAUAAAUAACAUAGUUUAGAUAGUUUAAGAAAUAAUUGAUUGUCGUUUUUUUAGGGAGGACACUGCAGCGUUUACAUAUAUAUAAUAUAUGAUUGAAAACACUAUCGCUCUUCAUGUCUGUAUCAGAAUAAAAACAAAAAUAAUUAAUGCAUGAUGAAUUGUUUUGUUUAAGGUGAAGACACCUCUGUGGAACAGACUGAAGGAGAGGCACUUGGAUGUCUGUUGUAAGGUGGCCAUUGAUGGACCAGACCAGGAGGCCUUGGACUACAAGGAGUGCAUGAGGAGGUUCUACAGAAUGAAAAAGAGGAGGCUGAAAUGUUCUGUAUGGUUGCGAGAUGUGUGGAUGAAGUGUACUUUCAAUUUAAAGUUGCCAGCUGAUUUGUG